GGAGGUCCGCCUGCCCAGUGACUAAAAGUUUAACGGCCGCGGUAUCCUGACCGUGCAAAGGUAGCGCAAUCACUUGUCCCUUAAAUAGGGACCUGUAUGAAUGGCAUAACGAGGGCUUAACUGUCUCCUCCUCCUAGUCAGUGAAAUUGAUCUGCCCGUGAAGAAGCGGACAUAACAAUGUAAGACGAGAAGACCCUAUGGAGCUUAAGACACGAUAUCAACCAAGUUAACCACUAAUAACUAAAGAACAGAACACAAUGAAAACUGAUUAUCUGUCUUCGGUUGGGGCGACCGCGGGGUAAAACAAAACCCCCACGUGGAACAGGAGCAAUCCUAAGCCAAGAUAGGACACAUCUAAGCCAUAAAAUAUUUAACCAUCAAUGACGCCCCACAGGCCGAUCAACGAACCAAGUUACCCUAGGGAUAACAGCGCAAUCCUCUUUUAGAGUCCAUAUCGACAAGGGGGUUUACGACCUCGAUGUUGGAUCAGGACAUCCUAAUGGUGCAGCCGCUAUUAAGGG
rnacentral:rRNA from 1 species